UAUAAAGUACUAUGAGAAUUCAGGAGAGGGAGGGAAUACGGUCUACUGGGGUGAGGAGAGGUAAUCAGAAAAUCAGACUGACAGCAUAAGCCACACACACACAACACAUUUAGACCAUAGGAACUUUUUGGUAUGUGUAUGGAUUACAGAAUGUUUAAAAUUUAAGCCAGGUAUCAAAAAAUCAUGAUCCUUCCCGUAAAAGUUAAUAUUUAUUUUUUCAUGCUUUAUUUCAGUGCUCACCUAGCAACACUGGCUGUGGCUGAGGAGUGGUGUUCCUCUACACAGAGCCUGGGCUUUCCUCCAGACUUGCUGCCCUCAUGCAAGCCUCCUGCCUGAUGUCACCUGCCUGAUGCUGGUGCUUUUCGACUGCUGUAUCUAUGAAGGGAGAAGCAUUUGCUGCUGAAAGAGUUAUUGUAUUUGCUAUUGGCAACACUUGAGAGUAAAGUUUAGCAGAGUAAGAGAGACAUAAAUCUAGAGGUUUGGGGUAGUUUCUUUUUAAAGGAUGUAUCAUUUGUUUAUUUUAAAAAGUCUAAGAAGAAAAGAGGAAAGCAGCGGACACUUUUGAGAGCAUUUGAGGGUUAGAAAAGAUUUACAUCUUAGGAAUGAGGAUCCUUGAGCUUGUUUCCAAGUUCAUGGUGUUUUGAGUGUGGCAAGACUUUUUAAUACUAUGAAUGAUGCCCAUGGAAUCUUCUGUAACACUCAAUUGACGGGAAUCCUGAGGUACUAUAUAUCCCAGAUCUUAAUUUUCCCAAACACAUUGGAGUAUGAAGGACACGUUGUGAAUGACAGAAUUCUGUCAUUAUAUUUAAUUUACUAUCAAAUUUACCUACUAAAGUAGAGGACUGAUUAAGAUAAAUACAGACAAUGAUCUCAUCCUGGAAGGAAUUACUAUGGAAAAAGAAUUUGACAAGAAGAUCCCCUUUUUAUCUGAACAAUAAAACAUAUCAAUUUCUCCAAGCUCUUAUGUUUGGCCAGUUCAUCUGGUGAGAGAAUGGAAAAAGGGAGACAUUCAUCAAUUUUACAACCUGCAGUCCAUCAUCAGACCAAAUCAGGAAGAAGAGUGCAUGGAGAAAACAUUUGGGAAGAAAAGGUAUUUUCAAAACAUCUGGAGCAAGAGACAAAUCCCAUCAGCUCAGUUCCAACAAUAUAUGCAGGGACAGCAGGAUACCUGUCACAAAGAUGGAAUUGGUCAUUCGUUGGUGGCAUGAGUAAAUGGAUUGAUGAAUGA
ensembl:lincRNA